rnacentral:lncRNA from 1 species
GCUAGGGAGCGACGAACUACUUCCGGCGUCCGCGGACCAACUCUCGCGACAGCCAGCUCAAAGCAGGCAAGAACCGGAAGGGGCGGGGACGUUCCCCGUGAGCCUUCGCGGUGCUGGCUGCUCAUCUGCAUACGGAAGUUCGGCACAUUAUGAAUUAUUUAUUUUCCUCGAGGGAAAAAAUUAAAUGAAAAGCAACAAAAUACAUUAUUAACAAGUGAGACAAACUUCAAUGGAACUGGAUCAUGACCUCAACAGUCAACUACGAUAGUCAUCAUACGCCUAAUGAGAAUAGAAUUCAUUACCUAGGAAAUAAACUAAAAACGUCCUUAUGCCUUAAACUUAUGAGUAAGGAAAAUAACGAUUCGGGGUGACGCCCGAAUCCUCACUGCUAAUGUGAGACGAAUUUUUGAGCGGGUAAAGGUCGCCCUCAAGGUGACCCGCCUACUUUGCGGGAUGCCUGGGAGUUGCGAUCUGCCCGACCUUAUUCACGCCUAAAAAGUAGACUGACUGUGGGGUGGUCGUGUUUUUUGUUUCUUGUUGGUAGGUGGUGAAUGCGUUUUUUUCGUUGUUUUCUCCGUUACUCAGGCUGCCAGUUGCUUGGCAGUCUUGUCGCUGGCUGUGGACGCUCUGCACUUCAUCACCGUCCCCAGCUGCGCUUUGAGCCGGUCUAAGGUUGCCCACAGUAUUGACGUUGGGACCCACGAAACUGGCAAUUUCCAUGUGUGCGGCCUUACCCAGUUCUCCCAAACUUCUGCGUAUAACCGCUUCUCUGUGCUUCAGAAAGAUAAGUCCGGCCCCGGCCUCACACAGCAGCUCAGUUCGUGACAGCGUUUAAUAUGUAAAAUGGAGCAAAUAAUUUAUAGGGCGUUGGGAGAGUUAAAGAGACUAAUUCAUUUACGUGUUAAAUACAGGGAAUGGCUUUUGCAUUGAUAUAACCCCAGCCUCCAGCAUGCGCCAGACCUGACGUAGGUGUUCGGCACAUAUUUUGUCCAAUCACUCUAAAAAUACACUCCAUGCCCUUAGAACAGGUGGGGUUAUGUCCUCUUGGCCAUCAGGCAUCAGGAGCUCCGUGCAGAAACUGGGUAAGAGGCCAGGAGCGGUGGCUCAUGUCUGUAAUCUCAGCACUUUGGGAGGCUGAGGCGGGUGGAUCACCUGAAGUCAGGAGGUCGAGACCAGCCUGGCCAACACGGAGAAACCCCGUCUCUACUGAAAAAAAAAAAAAGAAAGAAAAAAAUUAGCCGGGCGCGGUGGCACGGCCUGAAAUCCCACCUACUCAGGAGCCUGAGGCAGAAGAAUCGCUUGAACUCGGGAGGCGGAGGUUGCGGUGAGCCGAGAUCGCGCCAUUGCACUCCAGCCUAGGCGACAGAGCAAGACUCCGUUUCAAAAAAAAAAAAAAAAGAAAGAAAGAAAGAAACUGGGUAAGAGCGAUCCUGCAAUCCUCCUGCCUCAGCCUCCUGAGUAGCUGGGAUUACAGGCCCGCCCCACCACGCCGGGCUCCUUCCCAGACCUCUUUUCCUCACCCAUAGAACGGGACCAUUAAGCCUUUCCUCCCUUCCAGGCGUGCCAGGAGGAACGCGCAAGAGGUGGGAGGAGGACAGGCUGGCCAGUGGGGUCAGCUGGGCAGUGUAGGGCAGAUGCGGAGGACAAUUUUAUUUUUAUUUUUGAGACGGUGUCUCGCUCUGUCGCCCAGGCUGGAGUGCAGUGGCACAAUCUCAGCUCACCACAGCCUCCGCCUCCCGGGUUCAAGCGAUUCUCCUGUCUCAGCCACCCGAGUAGCUGGGAUUACAGGCGCACGCCA